GGGGAUGUAGCUCAGUGGUAGAGCGUCCGCUUUGCAUGCGGAAGGCCCGGGGUUCGAACCCCGCAUCUCCA
rnacentral:tRNA from 1 species